rnacentral:tRNA from 1 species
UGGGGCGUCGCCAAGUGGUAAGGCAACGGGUUUUGGCCCUGUUACUCGGAGGUUCGAGUCCUUCCGUCCCAG